AACGAACGCUGGCGGCAGGCUUAACACAUGCAAGUCGAGCGCCCCGCAAGGGGAGCGGCAGACGGGUGAGUAACGCGUGGGAAUCUACCCAUCUCUACGGAAUAACGCAUGGAAACGUGUGCUAAUACCGUAUACGUCCUUCGGGAGAAAGAUUUAUCGGAGAUGGAUGAGCCCGCGUCGGAUUAGCUAGUUGGUGGGGUAAAGGCCUACCAAGGCGACGAUCCAUAGCUGGUCUGAGAGGAUGAUCAGCCACACUGGGACUGAGACACGGCCCAGACUCCUACGGGAGGCAGCAGUGGGGAAUAUUGGACAAUGGGCGCAAGCCUGAUCCAGCCAUGCAGCGUGAGUGAUGAAGGCCCUAGGGUUGUAAAGCUCUUUCACCGGUGAAGAUAAUGACGGUAACCGGAGAAGAAGCCCCGGCUAACUUCGUGCCAGCCGCCGCCGUAAUAC
rnacentral:rRNA from 1 species